GGAAUUGAAAGUAAGAGGCUUGUGCAACUUCACUGAAGUCAACAGGGUGACAGUCAUAACUGCUGGAAAACUCAGUCUGCUGUUGCUGGCUUGAGCCAAAUUGAAGAUUUUGGUUCACAGCGUCAGCAGAAGAACUUGAUAAGCUGGAUCUGCACUGCCAGCAGGAGAGGAUCUUCCCCUGACUUCUA